GCUCGCUUGGCUAAGUGGUACAGCGCGCCACUUGUAAUGGCGAGAUCACUCGUUCGAACCGGGUAGUGAGCA
rnacentral:tRNA from 1 species